CACAGAGUUAGCCGGGGCUUCCUCUGCAGGUACAAUCAACUUUAGAGCGUAUUAGGCCCUAUCGCUUUUUCCCUGCUGACAGGAGUUUACAAUCCAAAGACCUUCAUCCUCCACGCGGCGCUGCUGCGUCAGGCGUUAGCCCAUUGCGCAAAAUUCCCCACUGCUGCCUCCCGUAGGAGUCUGGACCGUGUCUCAGUUCCAGUGUGGCCGAUCACCCUCUCAGGCCGGCUACCGAUCGUCGCCUUGGUAGGCCAUUACCCUACCAACUAGCUAAUCGGACGCGGACCCUCCUUCAGCGGAAGCUCUUGCGAGCCCCCUUUGACCUCUCGGUCGUAUGCGGUAUUAGCCCGAGUUUCCCCGGGUAUUCCCCACUCAAGGGUAGGUAUCCACGCGUUACUCACCCGUUCGCCGCUCGACUGGGUAUUGCUACCGCCUCGCUCGACUUGCAUGUGUAAAGCACGCCGCCAGCGUUCAUUCUGAGCCAGGAUCAAACUCU
rnacentral:rRNA from 1 species